rnacentral:rRNA from 1 species
UUGUGGUUAAGUUACUAAGGGCACACGGUGGAUGCCUUGGCGCUAGGAGCCGAAGAAGGACGCAGCGAACUGCGAUAAGCCUCGGGGAGCGGUAAGCACGCCUUGAUCCGGGGAUCUCCGAAUGGGGCAACCCACCAUCCGUAAUGGGAUGGUAUCCGUACCUGAAUCCAUAGGGUAUGAGAAGGCACACCCGGUGAACUGAAACAUCUAAGUAGCCGGAGGAGAAGAA